GAGCUGAAAAACGGCUCGUCAUCCAAGGAAGGUGUAGCAGGCACGCAAAUUACCCACUCCCGGCACGGGGAGGUAGUGACGAAAAAUAACAAUACGGGGCUCUCCCGAGGCCCCGUAAUUGAAAUGGAGGGCAAUUCUGGUGACAGAAGCCGCGGUAAUUCCGACUCCAACAGCGUAUAUUAAAGUUGAUGUAGUUAAAAAGUUCUCAGUUGGAUCUAGGCUCCGGACCGGUGGUUACACUGCCGGCAUUCCGGAGCCAUCAUUGUCGAAUGUCUCGGGUAACCAGACCUGGAAUAAUGGAAUAGGACCUCGGUUCUAUUUUGUUGGUUUUUGGACCUGAGGUAAGCGAUUAAUAGGGACAGACGGGGGCAUUCGUAUUGUGGCGCGAGAGGUGAAACUCAUGGACCGUUGCAAGACGAACUACCGCGAAAGCAUUUGCCAAGAAUGUUUUCAUUAAUCGAGAACGAAAGUUAGAGGAUCGAAGGCGAUCAGAUACCGCCGUAGUUCUAACCAUAAACGAUGCCAACCAGCAAACCGCCGGAGUUCCUCUGAGGGCUCGGUGGGCAGCUUUCUGGGAAACCAGCAAAGUAUGGUUGCAAAACUGAAACAAGGAAUUGACGGAAGGGCACCACCAGGAGUGGAGCCCAGGACAUAAAUCCAUAAACGAUGCCAACCAGCAAUCCGCCGGAGUUCCUCCGAUGACUCGGCGGGCAGCUUCCGGGAAACCAAAGUGUUUGGGUUCCGGGGGAAGUAUGGUUGCAAAGCUGAAACUUAAAGGAAUUGACGGAAGGGCACCACCAGGAGUGGAGCCUGCGGCUUAAUUUGACUCAACACGGGAAAACUCACCCGGCCCGGACACUGGAAGGAUUGACAGAUUGAGAGCUCUUUCUUGAUUCAGUGGGUGGUGGUGCAUGGCCGUUCUUAGUUGGUGGAGUGAUUUGUCUGGUUAAUUCCGAUAACGAACGAGACUCUAGCCUGCUAAAUAGACGACCGAUCCCGGGGUGCCGGUGUCCCCCCUUCUGUCGCUUUAAUUUUUUGUCUGCGGCAUGUUGCCGUUUGCUCACUCGGGCUUGAUUUUGCUGAUCCCUUACUCACGUUCUCUCGAGGGCGUGUUGAGGGCAAAGGCAAUUUCUUGUCCUGGGAGGAGUAGCGGUCUUGCGGGACAUUAAUGGGCGGUCAGUACAGGUGGGGUCGCACACGGCGUUGCCUCUGUCGGUCGAAAGGCUUCUUAGAGGGACAAGCGGCGCUCAGCCGCACGAGAUUGAGCAAUAACAGGUCUGUGAUGCCCUUAGAUGUCCGGGGCCGCACGCGCGCUACACUGAAGGGAUCAACGUGUGUUCUCGCCCAGUCCGGAAGGACCGGGUAACCCGUUGAACCCCCUUCGUGAUUGGGAUCGGGGCUUGGAAUUGCCCCCCGUGAACGAGGAAUUCCCAGUAAGCGCGAGUCACAAGCUCGCGUUGAUUACGUCCCUGCCCUUUGUACACACCGCCCGUCGCUACUACCGAUUGAAUGAUUUAGUGAGGUCUUCGGACUGGCGGCUGUCUGCGGCUCUCUGUGGUCGCGGUGGCUCUGCCUGGGAAGAUGACCGAACU
rnacentral:rRNA from 1 species